rnacentral:tRNA from 1 species
GGCAAGUUGGCAGAAUUUUAUGUGUUUGGUUUAGGUCCAAGUUAUGGGAGUUUUCCCACUUGCUU